rnacentral:rRNA from 1 species
AUGGGACAUUUGACUAUCAAUCCCAUUUGGAGUGAGAUUUGGAAAUUAUCUUGUCCAUCGAAGGUUAAAAUUUUCAUUUGGCACACACUGCAUGGCAUCCUCCUGUGUAGAGUUAAUUUGGCGAAUAGACAUAUAAAAGUUACCCCCAAUUAUCCGGCAUGUUCCUUUGGAUCAGAGGAUACCAAGCAUAUAUUAUUUCAGUGUCAGAAAUCAAAGGAGGUUUGGAAAAAACUGGGUCUAGAUCAGGUCAUUAAAAGAGCGUGCGAAGUUGAUUAUGCUGGUGAGGCGGUGCUUAAAUUUUUGCUUUCUAUGCCUGAAUGGGAGCUUACGAUCUUGGGUAUUCGGAAUGUCCGUGAAUUAAUUGCAAUUUCAACUUGGUAUUUAUGGUGGGAGAGGCGAAAACUGGUCCCUAAAGAGAAAACCCAAGAUGCUAACCAGAUCGUCAUGGGAAUUCAUGCAAUUACGUUAAACUAUGUUUUGGCUAUAUCACCAAAGGCUACGAUGAAAAGAGGAGGUUGGGUCCAACCUCCAAGGGGGUUUGUAUAA